CCGUGCUAGAUGGGGAGUUAGCGGUGCCCUGUAACCUGCAAUCCGCUAUAGCAGGAUCGAAGUCCUCAGGGAGGCCUUAACUUGUUUGGUCUGCCCUAUGCAAGUGGUGUUGAUGGCUGGGUCCCACGCAAUGGAAGCCCAUGAACCUUGUCAGGUCCGGAAGGAAGCAGCAAUAAGUGGUGUCUUUCCGUGUGCCGUGGAUAAAUCUGGCCUGAGCUAACUACAUAGGUAACGCUUAUAAGUUAUUGUCGAAGUGAGGUGCACGG
rnacentral:SRP_RNA from 1 species